rnacentral:rRNA from 1 species
UGUAAGCGUAUACCAAAGUUGUUGCAGUUAAAACGCUCGUAGUCGGAAUUUGGCAGUUCCGGAUGUGUGCACGUCGUGUGCGCACUUCGCGGGGAUUGCUUUUGUGGUCUUGCGUAGGAUGAGGCACUUUUAUUAGUGAACGUCCUCACGCAACCACUUUUUACUGUGAGAAAAUCAGAGUGCUCAAAGCAGGCAUUUGCCGUGAAUGUAUUAGCAUGGAAUAAUAGAAUAGGACUUGGUUCUAUUUUGUUGGUUUGUUGGGACUGAGUAAUGAUUAAGAGGGACAGUUGGGGGCAUUUGUAUUUCGGUGCUAGAGGUGAAAUUCUUAGAUUACCGAAAGACAAACUGCUGCGAAAGCGUCUGCCACGGAUGUUUUCAUUGA